AAUAAGCUAUUUAAGAGCGUAUGGGGGAUGCCUAGGCUCUCAGAGGCGAAGAAGGACGUGAUAAGCUGCGAUAAGCUGCGGGGAUUGGCACACACAAUUUGAUCCGCAGAUUUCCGAAUGGGGAAACCCACUAUAUUGAAGAUAUAGUAUCCGUUAAGGAGGUAAACCCAGGGAACUGAAACAUCUAAGUACCUGGAGGAAAAGAAAACAAAAGUGAUUCCGUUAGUAGUGGCGAGCGAACGCGGAUUAGCCCAAACCAAAGUUGUUUCGGCAAUUUUGGGGUUGUAGGACCACGACNUUGAAUGUUCAAUGAAUUAGAAUUCUUUGGAAAAAGAAACCAUAGAGGGUGAUAGUCCCGUAUAAGUAAAGACAAUUAUUCAUAGUGGUAUCCUGAGUAGCGCGGGACACGUGUAAUCCUGUGUGAAUCUGGCGGGACCAUCCGCUAAGGCUAAAUACU
rnacentral:rRNA from 1 species